rnacentral:rRNA from 1 species
CUACGGGCGGCUGCAGUGAGGAAUAUUGGUCAAUGGGCGCGAGCCUGAACCAGCCAUCCCGCGUGCAGGAUGACGGCCCUAUGGGUUGUAAACUGCUUUUCUAUGCCAAGAAACCUGAUUACGUGUAAUCAGUUGCCGGUAGCAUAGGAAUAAGCAUCGGCUAACUCCGUGCCAGCAGCCGCGGUAAUACGGAGGAUGCAAGCGUUAUCCGGAUUCAUUGGGUUUAAAGGGUGCGCAGGUGGGUUUGUAAGUCAGUGGUAAAAUGCUGCCGCUUAACGGUAGAACUGCCAUUGAUACUGCGAGUCUUGAGUAUGGUUGAGGUAGGCGGAAUGUGUUGUGUAGCGGUGAAAUGCAUAGAUAUGACACAGAACGCCAAUUGCGAAGGCAGCUUACUAAGCCAUUACUGACGCUGAGGCACGAAAGCGUGGGGAGCGAACAGGAUUAGAUACCCGUGUAGUC